GAUGAACGCUGGCGGCGUGCCUAAUACAUGCAAGUCGCACGCGACGCCGGGGUGCUUGCACCCCGGUGGUCGAGUGGCGGACGGGUGAGUAACACGUAGGCAACCUGCCCCGCAGACCGGGAUAACCACGGGAAACCGUGGCUAAUACCGGAUAACCCCCGGUGCCAUAAGGCGCCGGGUUGGAAGACGGUUUCGGCUGUCACCGCGGGAUGGGCCUGGGGCGCAUUAGCUGGUUGGCGGGGUUACGGCCCACCAAGGCGACGAUGCGUAGCCGACCUGAGAGGGUGAUCGGCCACACUGGGACUGAGACACGGCCCAGACUCCUACGGGAGGCAGCAGUAGGGAAUCUUCCGCAAUGGACGCAAGUCUGACGGAGCAACGCCGCGUGAGUGAGGAAGGGUUUCGGCUCGUAAAACUCUGUUGUUAAGGAAGAACGCCGGUGAUUUAACUGAUCACCGGGUGACGGUACUUAACCAGAAAGCCACGGCUAACUACGUGCCAGCAGCCGCCGCGGUAAGAC
rnacentral:rRNA from 1 species